rnacentral:rRNA from 1 species
CGAAUGCUGACAUAAGUAACGAUAAAGCGGGUGAAAAGCCCGCUCGCCGGAAGACCAAGGGUUCCUGUCCAACGUUAAUCGGGGCAGGGUGAGUCGACCCCUAAGGCGAGGCCGAAAGGCGUAGUCGAUGGGAAACAGGUUAAUAUUCCUGUACUUGGUGUUACUGCGAAGGGGGGACGGAGAAGGCUAUGUUGGCCGGGCGACGGUUGUCCCGGUUUAAGCGUGUAGGCUGGUUUUCCAGGCAAAUCCGGAAAAUCAAGGCUGAGGCGUGAUGACGAGGCACUACGGUGCUGAAGCAACAAAUGCCCUGCUUCCAGGAAAAGCCUCUAAGCAUCAGGUAACAUCAAAUCGUACCCCAAACCGACACAGGUGGUCAGGUAGAGAAUACCAAGGCGCUUGAGAGAACUCGGGUGAAGGAACUAGGCAAAAUGGUGCCGUAACUUCGGGAGAAGGCACGCUGAUAUGUAGGUGAAGUCCCUCGCGGAUGGAGCUGAAAUCAGUCGAAGAUACCAGCUGGCUGCAACUGUUUAUUAAAAACACAGCACUGUGCAAACACGAAAGUGGACGUAUACGGUGUGACGCCUGCCCGGUGCCGGAAGGUUAAUUGAUGGGGUCAGCGCAAGCGAAGCUCUUGAUCGAAGCCCCGGUAAACGGCGGCCGUAACUAUAACGGUCCUAAGGUAGCGAAAUUCCUUGUCGGGUAAGUUCCGACCUGCACGAAUGGCGUAAUGAUGGCCAGGCUGUCUCCACCCGAGACUCAGUGAAAUUGAACUCGCUGUGAAGAUGCAGUGUACCCGCGGCAAGACGGAAAGACCCCGUGAACCUUUACUAUAGCUUGACACUGAACAUUGAGCCUUGAUGUGUAGGAUAGGUGGGAGGCUUUGAAGUGUGGACGCCAGUCUGCAUGGAGCCGACCUUGAAAUACCACCCUUUAAUGUUUGAUGUUCUAACGUGGACCCGUGAUCCGGGUUGCGGACAGUGUCUGGUGGGUAGUUUGACUGGGGCGGUCUCCUCCUAAAGAGUAACGGAGGAGCACGAAGGUUGGCUAAUCCUGGUCGGACAUCAGGAGGUUAGUGCAAUGGCAUAAGCCAGCUUGACUGCGAGCGUGACGGCGCGAGCAGGUGCGAAAGCAGGUCAUAGUGAUCCGGUGGUUCUGAAUGGAAGGGCCAUCGCUCAACGGAUAAAAGGUACUCCGGGGAUAACAGGCUGAUACCGCCCAAGAGUUCAUAUCGACGGCGGUGUUUGGCACCUCGAUGUCGGCUCAUCACAUCCUGGGGCUGAAGUAGGUCCCAAGGGUAUGGCUGUUCGCCAUUUAAAGUGGUACGCGAGCUGGGUUUAGAACGUCGUGAGACAGUUCGGUCCCUAUCUGCCGUGGGCGCUGGAGAACUGAGGGGGGCUGCUCCUAGUACGAGAGGACCGGAGUGGACGCAUCACUGGUGUUCGGGUUGUCAUGCCAAUGGCACUGCCCGGUAGCUAAAUGCGGAAGAGAUAAGUGCUGAAAGCAUCUAAGCACGAAACUUGCCC